GUUGGAUAACUGAGGUAAUUCUUGAGCUAAUACACGCUUUUUAUACCACAUUAGUGGUGCGUUUAUUUGAUUAAACCGAUUUUCUGGUUGACUCAAAAUAUCCUCGCUGAUUUUGUUACUAAAACAUACCGUAUGUGUAUCUGGUUUAUCAACUUUCGAUGGUAGGGUAUUGGCCUACCAUGGUUGUGACGGAUAACGGAGAAUUAGGGUUCGACUCCGGAGAGGGAGCCUGAGAAACGGCUACCACAUCCAAGGAAGGCAGCAGGCGCGAAAAUUACCCAAUUUUAGUUAAAAGAGGUAGUGACGAAAAAUGACAACCAAAUAUUAUUAUUAAUAUUUGGAUUGAAAAUCUUCAAGUUUAAAUAACUUGUUGGUAAAGGAAAGGGCAAGUCUGGUGCCAGCAGCCGCGGUAAUACCAGCUUUCCAAGUGCAUAAAAUGAUUGUUGUGGUUAAAAAGCUCGUAGUUGGAUUAUAAAGAUUGUAUAAUGAGCAUCUUGGAUGUUUUUCAUUAUCAUCUUACUUUUUUAUUAUAUUAGUAAUAAUAUAAUAACUGUUACUUUGAAUAAAUCAGAGGGUUUAAACCAGGCAUUAUAUGCUUGUAUGGUCUAGCAUGGAAUAACACUAUAGGAAAAGUUAGUGUGGUUUCACUAAUCUUUUUCAUGAUUAAUAGGAACAAACGGGGGCAUUCGUAUCGCUACGUUAGAGGUGAAAUUCUUGGACCGUAGCGAGACGUCCUACUGCGAAAGCAUUUGCCAAGAAUGUUUUCAUUAAUCAAGAACGAAAGUUAGAGGUUCGAAGGCGAUCAGAUACCGCCCUAGUUCUAACCGUAAACUAUGCCUACUAGGUGUAUGAAUUAUUAGUUAUAAUAAUUUAUGGACCUUCUCGGAAACGAAAGUCUUUCGGUUCCGGGGGAAGUAUGGUUGCAAAGCUGAAACUUAAAGGAAUUGACGGAAGGGCACCACCAGGAGUGGAGCCUGCGGCUUAAUUUGACUCAACACGGGAAAACUCACCCGGGCCGGACACUAUAAGGAUUGACAGAUUGAUAGCUCUUUCAUGAUUUAGUGGUUGGUGGUGCAUGGCCGUUCUUAGUUCGUGGAUAUGAUUUGUCUGGUUGAUUCCGAUAACGAGCGAGACUUUUAUGUUAUAUUAAAUGUUAUUAUUUUUUAAUAAUAACUAUUUUAAUAACAGAUUAAUAGUGUUUAACUAUUUGAGAGAGAGCGAUAACAGGUCUGUGA
rnacentral:rRNA from 1 species